GACGAACGCUGGCGGCGUGCUUAACACAUGCAAGUCGAGCGGUAAGGCCCUUUCGGGGGUACACGAGCGGCGAACGGGUGAGUAACACGUGGGUGACCUGCCCUCAGCUCUGGGAUAAGCCUGGGAAACCGGGUCUAAUACUGGAUAUGGCUCCAUGACGCAUGUUGGUGGGGUGGAAAGCCUUGUGCGGCUGAGGAUGGGCCCGCGGCCUAUCAGCUUGUUGGGUGGGGUGAGGCCUACCAAGGCGACGACGGGUAGCCGGCCUGAGAGGGCGACCGGCCACACUGGGACUGAGACACGGGCCCAGACUCCUACGGGAGGCAGCAGUGGGGAAUCUUGCGCAAUGGGCGAAAGCCUG
rnacentral:rRNA from 1 species